AGCUAUCGAAUGCGUUUUCCUGCGGCGUUGCAGGCUUUAUUGGCUCCCGAGUUCUGCUCCGGAUUGUCAAAAUUUGUUAAGAAAUGGCAAAAUUUGAUCUUCUGAUGACCUCUGGUGACCUGACCUUUGACCUAUUAGUGUUUUAUUAUAUAACUGGCCUAUUAUAUCAUUGACCUGUUAUUGACCUAUUAGUAUUUUAGAAGCAUUUUCUCCAUUAUUUUUUACGGUUAUUCGAAUGCCGCAUACCGCGUUUUGCGGCAACUUAUGCGGUUUUCCUGCCUGGGAGAUCAUGAAACAUCAUUGUCAGUAACUCACCAAUAAAUCACCUGAUUCAGAGGAACCAGUGUGUUAAAGAACACAACUCGCCUAAUUCCGAGGAUGCUUAAGGAAUAAUAAAGAAUGAAGAACAACAAUGGGCAAAGGGCAAAUCUUUUCAGUUUUAUUUGCCGCUUGUGAAAUUUUUGUUUACAAUUCGCGUCGUUCUCGUCCUUCUGUGCUGCUUUAAUUAUGGGUAUCUUGGCUUUAAUGAUCGGUGAAACGGUGUUACCUGAGAAAGAUUCCGCUGUUUUUUACCGCCAUAAGUGUUAUUAAUUAUGCAGUGUUUUGUAGUUAAAGUGUGUUUACUUUGUGUGCGUGAGAACGUUUGGAGAUGCCUCGCCGUGCGGGCCAAAAGGGCUCGGGAUGCGAACGCCGUUGCCCAGCGCCGUCGCCGUAAACGGCUAGCGCAGACGCGGCGCGAGACCGAAGCGUUGCGGAACGCUGAGCGUCGCCGUGAGCGUCGUAGAGAGACCCGAGAGACCCACCGCCAGCAGGAGAGGAAGCGCCACGAGAACCGAGAGGAGGGGGAAGAGCAGACUGGUCAGUCACCUGCACACCUUGGAACCGGAUUCAAGGGUGUGGGACGAAGCAAAGGCUCACCCCCCAAAAAUUGCCAUCAGAACUGAGAAGUUAACUACGGACACAGAUGAUGAAGCGAGGGGCAGAAGACACAGGCGGAGCAUACACUGAAAAUGAUCCUGCUUCAUAAUGAAACAAAAUUCCUAGACCUUCAUUGGAAACAAAGACAAGGCUCCAAAUGUGAAAAUAUACACAGCUGAAAAAGAUCCGUGCCACUGCCUGUACAUACAUGGGACCGAACAUGGCAGAGAAAAAUGAAUGCUGGGGAGUCGGGGACCGUUAUGUCAUGUAUUACCAUGUGGAAUGUCAAUGUUAAUAGAUCGGAUUUGCACCA
rnacentral:lncRNA from 1 species